UACGGAGGAUCCAAGCGUUAUCCGGAAUCAUUGGGUUUAAAGGGUCCGUAGGCGGUUUUGUAAGUCAGUGGUGAAAGCCCAUCGCUCAACGGUGGAACGGCCAUUGAUACUGCAAGACUUGAAUUAUUAGGAAGUAACUAGAAUAUGUAGUGUAGCGGUGAAAUGCUUAGAGAUUACAUGGAAUACCAAUUGCGAAGGCAGGUUACUACUAAUGGAUUGACGCUGAUGGACGAAAAGCGUGGGGAGCGAACAGG
rnacentral:rRNA from 1 species